GAUGAACGCUGGCGGCGUGCUUAACACAUGCAAGUCGAACGGAAAGGCCCAAGCUUGCUUGGGUACUCGAGUGGCGAACGGGUGAGUAACACGUGGGUGAUCUGCCCUGCACUUCGGGAUAAGCCUGGGAAACUGGGUCUAAUACCGGAUAGGACCACAUUUUGGAUGGUGUGGUGGAAAGUUUUUCGGUGUGGGAUGAGCUCGCGGCCUAUCAGCUUGUUGGUGGGGUAAUGGCCUACCAAGGCGUCGACGGGUAGCCGGCCUGAGAGGGUGUACGGCCACAUUGGGACUGAGAUACGGACCAGACUCCUACGGGAGGCAGCAGUGGGGAAUAUUGCACAAUGGGCGCAAGCCUGAUGCAGCGACGCCGCGUGGGGGAUGACGGCCUUCGGGUUGUAAACUCCUUUCGCUAGGGACGAAGCGUUUUUGUGACGGUACCUGGAGAAGAAGCACCGGCUAACUACGUG
rnacentral:rRNA from 1 species